UGAGGAAGGAAAACAAAAAGGAAAAAAUAUCUUUCUACUAACUCAGAGUAUUAGCCAAAACGAUCAGUCCUUACCCCAGAAUUGAAGGAAAGAGAACACUUCUGCUGUGUCAGACCUCUCUCAGCCAUCAUAUCUCUUAAUGUUCAUCCUCUUUCUACCAGGCAGGUACUGUUAUCCCCAUUUUUUACAGAUGACAGCACGGACUCUGGUAACAUGAAAUAACUUUCCAAGGGCACAUGCUUAGUAAGUGAUGCAGCUGGAAUUGAAAACCUCUGACCCCAGAGCCCAUGCACCUUCUGUGCCUUAGUGAAGAACAGCAGGCCAUCCCCUAGUACACCAGCCUUCUCUCUCCUUUCUGCUGUACUGAGACUUUCCCUUCAGGUCUUACCUCGUCAGGCUGUAGACGGCACAUGGGUCUCCUUCCUUGACUCCGGGAGGAGUUUCACAUUAUUUAACAGGUACUGCUUUGCUCAGGUACGCAUUAUCCCUCCCUCUUUGCUCAUUUCAUCGCGCCCCAUUUUUGAAAUUUGAGGAAUGCAUGUAGUAUAUGCUCCUUGAAUAUUAAGGAUCAGUGGCAAAGAAGCUAAAGUUAAAAUGGAUUCUCCGUCAGGGUGGUCCAGGCAUUUACAGGUGGCAGCUGUUGUUACACAUUGUAUUUGGAUUCCUUGAUUCCUUGAACUUGAUGGGUAUAGCUUACUGUAGAAUACAAUUUUGAGUUCUGGUUUGCUCAAAAUUUUAGAUACUGUGGGUUUUUUUUAAUCAGUUCAUGAUUAGGGUCACCACUUUAAAAACACCCAGGCCUCAGUUUCCAAUUUGCGUUAAUGAGCGUUCUGUUGCUUAGGAUUUGUUUGGUGUAAGCACGGUCGUCCCUUUGCUGAGCCCUCGUGUCAGGUCUCUAGGAGCGGGUCCAACAGUCGCUGGGAUAGUAGGCUCCUCCUGUGGCAUUUUGCAGUCCUUUUGCAACACAUUGGUGGGCUGCUGGAGUGAUGUCGUCGGAAGAUGGUCUUCCUUGCUGGUGGUGUGCACCCUGUGCAGUGCCCUGGGCUAUGUUAUUCUUGGAGCAGCUACCAACGUGUUCCUGUUUGCCCUGGCUAGAGCCCCUGAGGGUGAGUUCUCGCCCUGUGCCUGGGUUUUCGUUCAGAAUCAGAGAGCCUGUCCCCGCUCGGCAGUGCCUCUUUGGUUAGACUUUAUGUAAAGACCGAAUGAUAACACCAGCAGUGAGAACUGUAACACCAGCAGCUGGUGUCCACCGAGCACUUAGCAUCCGCCAGGUUCUGCUAACCUGUCCAGGGCUGCAAACCUCGCACAUGACAGAGCCCGGAGCCCUCCUCGCCUGUUAGCGUGAGCAUCCAUGCCACAGCCACAGGACCUGUCUCUUUCCUGUCCACCUCUCUCUACAUCCAGCCGGUAACAAUUCCCUAGAUGUCUUCAGCCAGCACUAUGGUUCCCGUGCUCUCCCUCGGCAAGCUUAUAGUUUUGAGUUUGGGCUUCCUGACUUCAAGUUGAGACUUGCCGUGUAGCUGUCCUGCAACCUCUGUCAAUCUGGCUGUUA
ensembl:lncRNA